rnacentral:misc_RNA from 1 species
AGACGCUGAAUAUUUUAUAAAAAAUUAAAAAGAAUACACACGUUUAUUUGUAAAAAUGUUAGAUGAAACGUUUAUAUUUUGAAGGCUUUUGGUUUUAAUGGGCGAUAACGCUGUUUCUUACGUCAAAGGAAGAUUGGGUUUCGAAGGGGUUUAUCCAUGAAGAACGAGUAUGCAGUUGUACAUAUUAAGUAUACUUGUUAAUUUGCUUCAAAUUCAUCUGAAAACAUGACAAAUCUAGAAGCUACAAGUUUUGCUGUACCACAGCAUCCCUUGCCUGAGGAAAUUCAACAAAUGAAACGAGAUGAAACAGUGUGUAAAUUCUGUGGAGUUAGUUACUUAAUCCACAAUGAAAUGAAAGCUUUACAAGAAAAAUUAGCUGAGGCAGAGAGGCAGAUGGAGUUUUAUAAAGGAAGUGUUGAAAGAGAGAAACUGUUAAAGGAAAAAAUGGAAACAAUGGAUGGUGAAUAUUUUAAACAGUCCCAGAAACUCAAAGACCAAGAGCAGCAACUUGAACUCUUCAAAUCUGAUCUCAAAAUGAAAGCAAAGUUAAUAAAUGAUAUGUAUUUACAGAAACGCCAAUAUGAAAGUAGCAUUAAAGAAGAACAAAGCAAGUCUGAUAAACUGUCUGCUCACAAUUCUCAUCUGUCAUCAACCUUACAAAAAUACAAAACAUUCAUCAGACACCAAAAAGAGUGUUUGAUUAGUUUGAGAAAAGAUGUUUGUGAAUAUAAAGUGAUAUCAAAUGAUGCUGUUCUGCACAUCGCUGCAAAAGUUAAAAGAGCAUCUGGAAUUCUUCAAAAGAAGGUUAUGCAAGAAAAACAAGAUACAGAAAUGAAAUGGAAGAUGCUGACUGAACAAUUAUUAAACUUUCAAAAUGAAGUAGAUAACUUACGUGGUGCUGACACUAAGUUGCUUGAUUUUCAAACAAAAUGUAUUGAGCAGAAACAGAAAGUUGAUGUUUAUGAAAAACAUGUAAAUCAGUUAGAAGAAGUGAAUAAGACUUUAAAAGAAAAAAAUAAGACCAUUGAAAGUUGCUUGAUCCAGAAAUCAAGAGAAGCAAAGGAUGUAAUGGAUAACUUAGAAACAAUAAAAAAAGAAAAACAAGAAGAACAUUUCAAAUCCAAAGAAUUAUUAAUGGCAAAGGAUGAAGAACUAAAAAAAUCAAAAGAUUUAUGUAUAUCCUUAGAAAAAUUAAUGAAUGAGAUAUCCGCAGCUGAAAAGAAAGUUCAAGAGAAAGUAACUGAUAAAGAUGUGCAAUUGCAGAAUUUGGAAGAAACCGUUUCCAAGCUGAGAAGUGAGUCAGGAAAACUUAAGAUAGAAAGAGAACAAACGAUCAUUUCGCAUCACAAUCGUAUUGAACAACUGAGAGAAAGUUAUUCAAAGAAACUGGAAGCUUCGGAAAGCACAUGCAGUGCACUUCAAAAAGAAUUGCAUGAAAUGAAACGAAAAGUCGAGGUUGACCUUGAAGGAUCGCAACGUAGCUUAAAAGAAGAAUAUGAAAAGGAAAUUAGUGCAUUUAAUUUAAAACAUUUAGAAGAAAUUGGUAUUAUGGAACUUGAAAUAAAGAAUUUGAGUGACAAACUGGUACAUGAAACAAAUAUUUGUCGUGGUUAUAAAGAUGAAAUAAACCAACUGAAAAACUCGUUGUCAACAACCAAGACAAGAAAUGCUCAGGAAACACAGAAAUAUCAGAAUGAAAUUCUGGAUAUGAGAAAGAAUGUCGAAAUGUUGCAGUUGAAGACUGAAAGUGGCCAAAAGGAGACUGAUGCAAAGAAUAGAUAUGAAGCGUUACAGAAAAGUUUACAUGAUACUAAAACACAACUUAAAGUCAUGGAAAAGCAAUUAAAAGCUAAAAAUGAUGAGAUGAUCACGUUGAAAGAUACGGUACGACGUGAAUGUGAAGAAAGACUUGAACUAACGCAAGCUUUAAGUGAUACCAGAAUGCAAUUACUCUCUCUUCAACAAAAUCCGGAAGUAACACGACCGUUUCCGUGCAAUAGACACUUAAAUAAGCCAACAGUGAAUAAUUCCAACCAUAAGUCACGGGUGACACCUGUUGUCCCUCCGGCAAGUGUCGACAUAUCUUCGUCAGAAACCUCUGAAAUCAUUGCGUCUAGAGUUCGAAGAAUUAAGAGCACUGGUAGCGAAGGGGCAACACGAGAGAGUGUCGAUAGUUUCCGAGAAAGAAUUGCUGCAGCUCUUGGUCGGGAGAGUCGUUUUAACCACACCAGAUGAGAACGACGUCAACAUAGUGAAUCUGUUAGCUUAUCGCUCUUCAUAGACAUUGGUGACGUCAACGUAGUGAAUCUGUUAGCUUAUCGCUCUUCAUAGACAUUGGUGACGUCAACGUAGAUCUUCAUGUGAAUUCGACACAACUAAAAUAGUCCAUAUAUAAAAAUACUGUGCUUUGACGUGAUAUGAACAGACGUUGCAGUACUGUCUCAUGUCUGUAUGAAACACUGAACAUAUACGUUCAUGACGUUCGCGAUUUCACGACUCUCGCCCUUUUCUCGGCCAAGAUGUCCAUAGAUCAAGGAACAACACUUUCAAUAAAUAAGUAAAUGCUUCAAACAUACGUCUUAGAAUGUUCUCUGUUAGCCAUCUCACAAUAAAAUAAGCAAAAAUGUCAUAAAUUAGGCAAAGUAUACCAAAGCCACUUACAUAUCGUAAGAAAGUAACUAUUUUAGAGGAUUCCGAUUUCAUUGUGGCUAUAAAAACAGCGGUAAUUCCGAGCAACGAACACAUUUUCUGAAAGUAAAAUGAGUUCAUUCUUCUGUGUCACAAAGGAAGGAUGUUCUUGCGUCGACAUCAAUAGCCAAUGUAAAUUACGUUUUAUUUUCAUUUCGUUUCAUUUCUAUUGCAAGUUCCCAUGGAUACAUCUACUACA